CUGGAGAUGAGUUUCAGAGCUUUUUCUCAAGAAGCCAGUUCAGGAGUGAAGCAAGAAUCCUUUUACACUGUGGCACUAACAGCUCACGCAAACACUGCAAACAAUGGCUGAUUCUCAGCAGAAGUCUCAUCUCAAUAUAAGUGAAACAAUAGAGUGAGUGAGCUUUGGUGGACUGGGAAGGCUACGGUCCCGAGGAGCGCUCAUGGGUCCCCAGAAACAACAUCCUUGAUCCCUCUCUGCUUGACACUUUCCACGCUACACAUCCAGAUCGACCUGCUCCCCAUGGAAGAGGAUGACCACCACGACGUCGGGGUCCUCAGCCCUCAGGAGCGGGCCGUGGAGGGGGGGGUACUGUCACAGACCCGCCAGGUUCAACCAUCAGCCAAUCACAGUGCACUCCCUCACCAGAGUUCUAACCACACUCACCUGAUCCUCAUCAUCACCCAAUCACCACAGAUACUUAAGCGCACCACUCACCUCAGUUCACUACUCUUCCUAUGCUCCAGAUCAUCGUUGAUACCUACCCAUUCCACUCCAGUGUGCUUCCUAGUCUUCGUACCUUGUAUCUGUGUGUGUAUCACCCUACCGUCUCUGUGAGUCUGCUUCUCCACUCUGCUUCCUGUCAUCCAUGAGUCAUCCACCUGCAAGAUAAAGGACAGUAUCAUUACUACAGUUUCACCAUCACAAAGUACCAGUUUACCAGUAACUUACCUGCUCAUCUGUGUUUCUCUGCUGUUUGCAAAUAAACCUCACUUUACUUGCAAA